rnacentral:rRNA from 1 species
CCAAUAGCGUAUAUUAAAGUUGCUGCAGUUAAAAAGCUCGUAGUUGAAUUUCGGGAUCAAUAUGUUGGUCGUGCCUCGGUACGUACUAGCUUAUUGGUUUCUUCCUUCUGACGAACCAUAAUGUCAUUUAUUUGGUGUUAUGGGGAAUCAGGACUGUUACUUUGAAAAAAUUAGAGUGUUUAAAGCAGGCUCACGCUUGAAUACAUUAGCAUGGAAUAAUGAAAUAGGACGUUUGAUUCUAUUUUGUUGGUUUCUAGGAUCGACGUAAUGAUUAAUAGGGAUAGUUGGGGGCAUUAGUAUUCAAUUGUCAGAGGUGAAAUUCUUGGAUUUAUUGAAGACUAACUACUGCGAAAGCAUUUGCCAAGGAUGUUUUCAUUAAUCAAGAACGAAAGUUAGGGGAUCGAAGACGAUCAGAUACCGUCGUAGUCUUAACCAUAAACUAUGCCGACUAGGGAUCGGAUGAUGUUAAUUUUUUAAUGACUCAUUCGGCGCCUUACGGGAAACAAAGUGUUUGGGUUC